rnacentral:rRNA from 1 species
AUUGAACGCUGGCGGCAUGCCUUACACAUGCAAGUCGAACGGCAACGCGGGAGCAAUCCUGGCGGCGAGUGGCGAACGGGUGAGUAAUACAUCGGAACGUGCCCAGUAAUGGGGGAUAGCCCGGCGAAAGCCGGAUUAAUACCGCAUACGACCUACGGGUGAAAGCGGGGGAUUCGCAAGAACCUCGCGUUAUUGGAGCG